UGGGGGAUAUUGCACAAUGGGCGAAAGCCUGAUGCAGCGACGCCGCGUGGGGGAUGAAGGCCUUCGGGUUGUAAACUUCUUUUGCUCUGAACAAGGCGCACCAUGGGGUGUGUUGAGUGUAGGGGUUGAUUAGCGCCGGCUAACUACGUGCCAGCAGCCGCGGUAAUACGUAGGGCGCGAGCGUUGUCCGGAAUUAUUGGGCGUAAAGGGCUUGUAGGUGGCUGGUUGCGUCUGUCGUGAAAGCUCAUGGCUUAACUGUGGGUUUGCGGUGGGUACGGGCUGGCUUGAGUGCAGUAGGGAGGCUGGAAUUCCUGGUGUAGCGGUGGAAUGCGCAGAUAUCAGGAGGAAUACCGGUGGCGAAGGCGGGUCUCUGGGCUGUUACUGACACUGAGGAGCGAAAGCAUGGGGAGCGAACAGG
rnacentral:rRNA from 1 species